GGGCUUAAUUUUGGGGCCGUAUCCCGUGACCGAGACAAGCGUCUGGGCAGGUGCUUAAAGGCACAGGCGGAUGGAUCUGAUCGAUUUAUAAAUGAAACAGCUUUCAGACUCAGAUAAUGAAUAAUAUAUGUUUUGCUCAGUCUUUCUGUGCGGCCCGGUACCAAAUGACCCACGGACCGGUACCGUGCACUGUGUUAGAGGAGAUCACCCAUCAGGACUGGGCUACUGAGCACUACUGCGCAUGCACCUCCAGGAGAUGUUUGCCGUUGCCUAGUAACGUCGGUCAGCUGGUCCGUCAGAAGCAGAGGCACAAUGCAGAGCCCACGGAAAGAGGAGAGCUCCACCAGCCUGCAGGAUGGAGGAAGCGAAGCAGAGGAGGAGAGUGAAGCAGCAGCUGCAGAGGUUCUGACUGAGGACACCGCCCCACAUCCUCACCCAGAAAACUCCCUUGAUGCCGUGCAUGCAGGUAAGUCACACACACACACACACACACACACACACACACACACUGGAUUAGGUCUGAGGAAAUGUCUGCCACAUAUCAUCAGAUUGGAUCAAAUCAACAUAUUGAUUUGUCUCAUUUCUUGUGUUUCAGUCCAGGAAAAUGUUGCUGAGGUGUCGCUGUCACCUCACAACUCACACCUGAACACAUCGGUAGACAUGCAGGAGCAGGAACCGGGAGAGGAGGAGGAGGAGGAGGAGGAAGAGGAGUUCCUUAUUUUUAACCCUGAACACCCGGUGGCCAGAAGGCAGCAAGCGGCUCUGAGCAGACACUUCAGCCAACAGCUGAAGAAGAUCAACCUGGACAUAAAGGAAAAGGUCGGCAGCGGAUAUUUUUUUUACCUUUGCAUGUCCAGACACUGAUGCUG
rnacentral:lncRNA from 1 species